UUCAAUUUCUAAUCCAACGGUUGGUUUUCACUCCUCACCUAUGACACAUGACAUUGUGGGCCUUGUUUUGUUUUUUUGUCCAAAGUUACUAUUUCAAUGACGCAAGAUACACGGCAUUUUUGUACCUUAAGCUCCUCUUCCCCGAUUUCAUCAUCCAUUGCGGAUUCGUGGCUCUAAUGGUGUACCAACAGCUGAGUUUCGUUUAUCCAAUUCUUCACUCUUUCAUUGAAACCCCACUACUCAAUUGAUCCUACAAAUAGUUUACCUACUAAUAUUCAAUUGAUGUCCUACAGGUUAUAGAGUAAUGGCUUUCUUUCAUUCCUACUCCUAUAAAUACUCCUUUGCUUUUCUAGAGUGUGUGUUCAUGCAGUGUUCUCAUGGUUUAUCUCUUCAUUCUUCUCUUGGUUGCUUCAUUGAUCUUGGCUGUGAAACGUGAAUGCAGCAACUGAUGUAUCACAUUGUUACACUUACUGCACGCGAUGGUUCUUCUAUGGAGAAAAUGAGAUGAAAAUGAAGAUGGGAGAGUUGAAUGAGGUUAUAUCAAAUUUGAGGAUGAUGAUUUCCUCUUUAGAAGAGAGAAUUACAAAGGAAGAACGAGAUAAAUUGCCAGGAAGCUAUUGAUUGUUAUAGAAAAGAAAAGGAUGCCAAAGUGAAGCUAAGAAGAUGCAAGCUUCACUUUCAACUGAGCUUGACAAAGUUCGGUAUGAGAAAUAAGCUGUUGAGAAGAAGGUAACGCUAUGUUCUAAUUAGGAAAAUUUAUAGUUACCAGUUAAAAAUAUGGAAGCCCCCAAUUCCGACAAGAGUUAUUGCCCUCUGAUUAUUAUUCAGGCUAUUUCAAAUGAGACCUGUACAAGCGAUCACAAGAGAAUAUGAGUCUACAACAGUACAAUAGUCGCCUUCAGUCAGAUCUUGAAACAACUAAUGAGGCACAUAAACGACUAGAAACAGAGAAAUCAACUAUUGUUGAGAACCUUAGCAAUGUAAGAGGGCACAAUAAGGCAUUGCAGGAGCAGUUGUCAUCUCUUAAGGCUUCACAAGAUGAGGCUACUAAGCAAAAUGAAAUUUUAGCAAAUGAUCUCAAAUGCCUCAGAGAAGAAUUAAAGCAAAUUAGAGAUGAUCGUGAUCAUCAACAGGCCAAGUACAUUCUAUAACUGGAGAAGUAGCAAAAUAAAAAGAAUAUACAAAGAAAUCUUGGAUACCUUGACAACUAAAACUAAUGCUCUUGAGGUUAGAAGAGGGAAAAUCAAUGAGAAAUUAAGUAGUCCUGAAUGUUACAAGGUCAAGAGUCAAGACAUUUAGCAUCAACUUGAAGUGAAACCUUAAGUAGCCCUGAAUGUAUCAACUUGAAGCGAAACCAUUAGUUGACGAAAAAGGUUCAAAUUUUUUGCAUACAUGUUUUGAUUUUGAUAAAAAAAAAUUGAGGCUAUUUAAGUACAAGAAUAGUUUUUUUUCCCCCUUGGAAUUUCAGCUUUCAAUGGAGUACAUUUUUGGCUCAUAAUGCAUCUAUUUGAGUGUUGUCUACACCUUAGGCAUACUGGUUUUGUAAUUCGUAACUUACUAGAUUAUUGCUUUUAUUUUAUUUAACACGUAAUAUGCAUUUAUUUCCUAACUCUCCUUUGUCGUUGACUGCAGAGAAGCUAUGGUCUAGACUUAAGUUAUGUUUACUGAGAUUUUUUAAUUCAAAUAUGGUUGUCCUAUAUAUGAUGUGAGGUGACAUAUUUUAGAGAUGCCCCGAAGAUUCAAUAAAAGUGGUGAAAAGAAGAAACAUGAGAACCAAGGAAGAGAACUCGCUUCUGGAAAAUACAGUUGUAAAAUGUAUUUGUAUAAUUCAAAUACAUCCCAACAUUGAUGCCAAAUUUGUCUCAAACAUAGCUUAAGGAGAAUUUCAAUUUCGUCUGAUGGAAAAUAGAAGAGUUUAUUUUUCCCCAUUGUCUUGCUAACUUGUAAGUUUUAGAUAUUAGUCAUCCUUAAAAGCUUAAACUUUAAGAUUGUGCUUUUCUCUUGUGGGGAAAGUCUUGCAGUGCUCUAAGUUUUAGAGAUCAAUCAACCUGAAAUUUUAGUGGCAUGUAUGUUAGAUGAAUAUUUGUCUAUCACUUAGACCUUUCCUUGAAUUGUGGCACUUGUGUGUUUACAUG